CCCUUAGAUGUUCUGGGCCGCACGCGCGCUACACUGACGAAUGCAACGAGCUUAUAACCUUGGCCGAAAGGUCUGGGUAAUCUCCAAAUUUCGUCGUGAUAGGGGAUAGAUUAUUGCAAUUAUUAAUCUUCAACGAGGAAUGCCUAGUAAGCGCAAGUCAUCAGCUUGCGUUGAUUACGUCCCUGCCCUUUGUACACACCGCCCGUCGCUCCUACCGAUUGAAUGGUCCGGUGAAGCGUUCGGACCGUGGCCUUUGGACGGUUCGCCGUCUGUUGGCUGCGGGAAGUUCGUUAAACCUUAUCAUUUAGAGGAAGGAGAAGUCGUAACA
rnacentral:rRNA from 1 species